rnacentral:misc_RNA from 1 species
GAAAUGCGAUAAGUAAUGUGAAUUGCAGAAUUCAGUGAAUCAUCGAAUCUUUGAACGCACCUUGCGCUCCUUGGUAUUCCUUGGAGCAUGCCUGUUUGAGUAUCAUGAAAUCUUCAAAGUAAACCUUUUGUUAACUCAAUUGGUUUCUACUUUGGUAUUGGAGGUCUUUGCAGCUUCACACCUGCUCCUCUUUGUUCAUUAGCUGGAUCUCAGUGUUAUGCUUGGUUCCACUCGGCGUGAUAAGUUAUCUAUCGCUGAGGACACUGUAAAAGGUGGCCAAGGUAAAUGCAGAUGAACCGCUUCUAAUAGUCCAUUGACUUGGACAAUACUUUUAUGAUCUGAUCUCAAAUCAGGUAGGACUACCCGCUGAACUUAAGC